rnacentral:lncRNA from 1 species
UGUUGGAGAAGACCUGAGUAAACGGUUUGAUUCUCCACUUGUUGGGAUUCUGAAAGAAAAUUGCAUGAUGGAAUUUGUAGAGCUUGGACAAUAGAUGCUCCAAGUGCUAGGGCUGCCGCUUCACUCAUGAGAACGGAGUGGCAAUGCUGAAGUUGCGCUUUGACAUAGAUGGCUUGAAGUGGCUGAACCUGAAAGUUUAAGAUAAAGAUGCCUAGACCUACAAUGUUAGUGAUUAUGUUCUGGUCAUUAGGAACUACCGCAGCGUCAACAUAACAUCUUGAGCUUUGGAGGUUUGCAGGGUAGGGGCAGAAGUGCAUUGUUGGCUGUUGGAGGUGAGUUUGCAAAACUGAAAGGUGAUUACCUGGAGUUUGAGCAAACUGAGGCGAUGUCUGAGGGGGAUUUUGUUCGUUUUGGACCAUGUAGGCUUGGAUGGCAUGAUGAACUUGAGGGGGUGUCCAAUCCUUGCUGUUGAAGUGGUAAUCGUUCCUGGCUUUCCAAAUAAACCAAAGAGUAUAAAGAAUUUUGCAUAAUAAAGGUUCAGGAGUAGUAUCUGUAAUGAUAAGGGUUAGCGUUGAUUGGACACCAUCACUUUCAGGGGGGAAAUUAGCAGUAUUAAUGGGUGGGUUGGCUGUGAGCCAUACCUGACGAGAGAGGGUACAUUGGAAGAACAGAUGGUAGUCAUUUUCAAUCAUGUUGCAUCUGUCACAUGUGUUGUUACCUGGGGAGGAAAAUCUGGUGGCCCUGUCAGCUGUGGCUAAAGCUCUUCUUAUGAGUCUCCAGGUGAAGGUUUUAAUGAUAGGAGGGAUACUUUUGCAUUUUCAAACCCUGCAUAGAAUUGUGUUAGCCUGUGGAGUGAUGCUUCUUGUACCUGUAGCAUGAAUCUGCACAAUGUUGUUAUUAGAGAGAUGCGGCACUGUCUUCUUCCCGACCAGUGUCAGCUAGAGCAGCCGGAUCCCACAAAUCAGCACCUGCAGGAGCUACAUUUCGAAUGAACAAAAAGCUUAGGUUCCUUGUUACAACCUCUGAAGAGCUUAUGAAUUUCAAGUGCAACAAUAAAACAACCAACCCCUUUUUAGCCUCCUGAAAUGAUAUCCAGGUGGGCUCCGUCGACCAUAAGAAAACAACUAACCCUUUGACCAUAAGUAUGAUCAGAACAUAUAGUAAACUAUGCCCAGUUCGGGGUAAAAAAAGGCAGGUAUAAGACACAGAGAAUUAGAGAGAAAGGGCUAAAGUGCUAUGUUAACAGGAAACUUGUACACAGUUGAUUGCUAUAUGAUAGCUAGAAUGAAUCAACAUAGCAUAAACUCUGGAAAGAAAUGCAUCACUCAUUCAAAUAAAUUCAGUAAUAACUGAGUUGAACGUAAAUAAGAAUUAUAUGAUACAGAAAGAAAAGCACACCCGGAGCAGCAACCCGAUUCAGCAUGAACAGGUGCGGCAGGGAGGGAAACAGGUGGAACUCAGCCUGGGCAUUUUUUAGCCGAAAACCGAUAACCGCACCGAACCGCACCGAAGUUUCGGUUUUUCGGUUCGGUUUUCGGUUUAGCGAAGGGUGAAGUUCGGUUGUCGGCUUCGGCUUCGGUUUCACCUUAGAACCGAACCGAUCCACCGAACAACCGAGGUUACAUGUUACAGAGCCGCAGCCGGUCAGCCGCGCGAGCUAGCCUCCAGAAUCCAGCCCAGUAGCCCACAGCACACAUCAGCCCACCCUGGCAACCAGUCCACCCGUGACUCCAGUCUCCAAGUCCCCAAAUCCCCAAUCCUCACUUUGUUUAGUUCCCAAAAAAUUUUGCAAAAUUUUUCAGAUUCCCCGUCACAUCGAAUCUUUAGAUGUAUGCAUGGAAUAUUAAAUAUAGGCGAAAAUAAAAACUAAUUGCACAGUUUUGUCAAAAUUAACGAGACGAAUCUUUUGAGCCUAGUUAGUCUAUGAUUGGACAAUAUUUAUCAAAUACAAACGAAAGUGCUACAGUGCUCAUUUUGCAAAAAAAAAUUUGGAACUAAACAAGGCCUCAGACGACUGAGAGGCAGAGAGACCCGAGUACCCAACCCUAAACCUAAACCAGAGAGCGGCGGGCGGCGGCUGCGGCUCUGCGUGGUGCCGUGGGCGUGAAGGACGGAAGGAGCGCGCGGCACGGCGACCUGAGAGGGUGCAGGCCACAACAGCGUGCGGCGCGCGCGACGGUAGACCGGCAGCAGCGCGUGGGAUCGACGACAGCGAACACCUGAGCCCCGGCGACCGUCGACUUCUCCAUCGCCCCCCCGGCAACAAGGCUUCUACAACGACGACAAGAACGGAGCAGUCCUCCAACGUAUACAUUUUUCCACCAUUCUUUUCAGUUUGCGUUAUUAGUUUGUUUUUUACACGAAGUCCCUAGAUCUGAAGCAGACAUGUCUUGCUUUGCUUGUUUUUAACUUCUGUAGAUGGGGGACACCGAAGAAACCAUUGCAAACGAAAGUGUUCAAGUGCAGCGGCAUGAAGUAGUAGAUGUGGACAAGGAGACAGAUGCAGCCGCUCUGCAGUCCACCGUACAGCAACAGCAAGGCAAGGCUGAAGAGAUAGAGGAGGAAAGCAAGAAAAGGAAGGCCAUACCUCCAAGAUCAGAUGUAUGGGAACACUUUAGCAAGGUCAAAAUUAGUAAUGGGGAAGAAAGAGCCAAGUGCAAGUACUGUGGCAAACACUUUCAUUGUGACACAAGGACAAAUGGUACGUCCUCCAUGAAAGCUCAUUUGAAAAUCUGCAAGAAAAAUCCUAAUAAACCUGUAGUUGAUAAACAAGGUACUUUGCAACUACAACCUAGUAUUGCUGAUAGUAGUGUUGGCACUAUAUCCACUUGGAAAUUUGAUCCUGAUGAGUUAAGGAAGAGUUUUGCUGAGAUGAUAAUAGAAGAUGAACAGCCUUUUGUGUUGUCUGAACGUCCUGGCCUUAGAAAAUUUUUAGCAAAAGCAUGCCCACGUUUUGUACUGCCAUCAAGAAGAACCACCACUAGAGCCUGUGUGAAAGUGUUUGAUGAUGAGAGAGAAAAACUUAGGAAAUUUUUGAAAUCAAACUGUGCAAGAGUUAGCCUGACAACAGACACCUGGACAGCUAAGAACAGUCAAAACUACAUGUGUGUUACAGCUCAUUUUAUUGAUAAUGAGUGGAAGUUGCAUAAAAAAUCAUUGGUUUUUUCUUGGUUAAGGGCCACGGGGGGGAAGACAUUGGAAAAUCAUUGGAGACU